GACGAACGCUGGCGGCGUGCUUAACACAUGCAAGUCGAACGGAAAGGCCCUGCUUUUGUGGGGUGCUCGAGUGGCGAACGGGUGAGUAACACGUGAGUAACCUGCCCUUGACUUUGGGAUAACUUCAGGAAACUGGGGCUAAUACCGGAUAGGAGCUCCUGCUGCAUGGUGGGGGUUGGAAAGUUUCGGCGGUUGGGGAUGGACUCGCGGCUUAUCAGCUUGUUGGUGGGGUAGUGGCUUACCAAGGCUUUGACGGGUAGCCGGCCUGAGAGGGUGACCGGCCACAUUGGGACUGAGAUACGGCACAGACUCCUACGGGAGGCAGCAGUGGGGAAUAUUGCACAAUGGGCGGAAGCCUGAUGCAGCAACGCCGCGUGCGGGAUGACGGCCUUCGGGUUGUAAACCGCUUUCGCCUGAGACGAAGCGUGAGUGACGGUAAGGGGUAAAGAAGCACCGGCUAACUACG
rnacentral:rRNA from 1 species